rnacentral:rRNA from 1 species
UUAGAGUUUGAAUCCCUGGCUCAGAACGAACGCUGGCGGCAUGCCUAACACAUGCAAGUCGAACGAGACCUUCGGGUCUAGUGGCGCACGGGUGCGUAACGCGUGGGAAUCUGCCCUUGGGUUCGGAAUAACAGUUAGAAAUGACUGCUAAUACCGGAUGAUGACUUCGGCCCAAAGAUUUAUCGCCCAGGGAUGAGCCCGCGUAGGAUUAGCUAGUUGGUGAGGUAAAGGCUCACCAAGGCGACGAUCCUUAGCUGGUCUGAGAGGAUGAUCAGCCACACUGGGACUGAGACACGGCCCAGACUCCUACGGGAGGCAGCAGUGGGGAAUAUUGGACAAUGGGCGAAAGCCUGAUCCAGCAAUGCCGCGUGAGUGAUGAAGGCCUUAGGGUUGUAAACCUCUUUUUUCAGGGAUGAUAAUGACAGUACCUGGAGAAUAAGCUC